UAAACUUGAAACAUUUGAAACAUUGUUGC
rnacentral:sRNA from 1 species